rnacentral:rRNA from 1 species
AACGAACGCUGGCGGCAGGCCUAACACAUGCAAGUCGAACGCUGUAGCAAUACAGAGUGGCAGACGGGUGAGUAACGCGUGGGAACAUGCCCUUCGGUUCGGAAUAACUCAGGGAAACUUGAGCUAAUACCGGAUACGCCCUUAGGGGGAAAGAUUUAUUGCCGAAGGAUUGGCCCGCGUCCGAUUAGCUAGUUGGUGAGGUAAUGGCUCACCAAGGCGACGAUCGGUAGCUGGUCUGAGAGGAUGAUCAGCCACACUGGGACUGAGACACGGCCCAGACUCCUACGGGAGGCAGCAGUGGGGAAUAUUGGACAAUGGGCGCAAGCCUGAUCCAGCCAUGCCGCGUGAGUGAUGAAGGCCCUAGGGUUGUAAAGCUCUUUCGCCAGGGACGAUAAUGACGGUACCUGGAUAAGAAGCCCCGGCUAACUUCGUGCCAGCAGCCGCGGUAAUACGAAGGGGGCUAGCGUUGUUCGGAAUCACUGGGCGUAAGCGCACGUAGGCG